UACAGAGGGUGCGAGCGUUAAUCGGAAUUACUGGGCGUAAAGCGCGCGUAGGUGGCUUUGCAAGUCGAUUGUGAAAUCCCCGGGCUCAACCUGGGAACCGCAGUCGAGACUGCAUUACUAGAGUAUGGGAGAGGGAAGUGGAAUUUCCGGUGUAGCGGUGAAAUGCGUAGAUAUCGGAAGGAACAUCAGUGGCGAAAGCGACUUCCUGGACCAAUACUGACACUCAAGUGCGAAAGCGUGGGGAGCAAACAGG
rnacentral:rRNA from 1 species